AUACACAUACACACUUCACAAGAUCUCACAGCUAGAUUCGAAUGAGUUUGCAAGUGAUGCUGAUGAAGAGGGCCAGUCAGGGGUCCAGGAACAUAAAUAGCCUCUCCUUCACUCUUGCCUCUGAAGAAGACUCACACAUCAUCCCUGAAUCUUCAGCAUUAAUGAAGUUCAUUGUGUUUCUGAAUGGACUCCUGCUGCUCUUUCUGCUUCAGCGCUGGACAGAAAGUGUGGAAGAACAGAAGAUGAACCUUACAAUUCUUGCCUGAAUAAUAGACUUCUGUGAGUAUAGUGCAUAAAAUCAAGAUUUUAAAAAGAACUUUUUACUAUAUGAUAUAGCACAAAGAGGAAGUAGAGAAAUUAAUGUCAUUAAUAAACCGUGUUUGGUCUGCUGGUGAUCA
ensembl:lncRNA